rnacentral:rRNA from 1 species
GGGCCCGGGGAGGGUCUAGGCCAUGCGAGUCAUUGUAGCAAUACAAGGCAGACGGCUCAGUAACGCGUAGUCAAUCUACCCUAUGGACGGGAAUAACCUCGGGAAACUGAGAAUAAUACCCGACAGAACAUUAUACCUGGAACGGUUUAUGUUUCAAAUGAUUUAUCGCCGUAGGAUGGGACUGCGGCCUAUCAGUUUGUUGGUGAGGUAAUGGCCCACCAAGACUAUUACAGGUACGGGCUCUGAGAGGAGUAGCCCGGAGAUGGGUACUGAGACACGGACCCAGGCCCUAUGGGGCGCAGCAGGCGAGAAAACUUUGCAAUGUGCGAAAGCACGACAAGGUUAAUCCGAGUGGUUUCUGCUAAAGAAACCUUUUGCUAGUCCUAGAAACACUAGUGAAUAAGGGGUGGGCAAGUUCUGGUGUCAGCCGCCGCGGUAAAACCAGCACCUCAAGUGGUCAGGAUGAUUAUUGGGCCUAAAGCAUCCGUAGCUCGUUUUGUAAGUUUUCGGUUAAAUCCAUACGCUUAACGUAUGGGCUGCCGGGAAUACUGCAUAACUAGGAAGUGGGAGAGGUAGACGGUACUCGGUAGGAAGGGGUAAAAUCCUUUGAUCUAUUGAUGACCACCUGUGGCGAAGGCGGUCUACCAGAACACGUUCGACGGUGAGGGAUGAAAGCUGGGGGAGCAAACCGGAUUAGAUACCCGGGUAGUCCCAGCUGUAAACUAUGCAAACUCAGUGAUGCAUUGGCUUGUGGCCAAUGCAGUGCUGCAGGGAAGCCGUUAAGUUUGCCGCCUGGGAAGUACGUACGCAAGUAUGAAACUUAAAGGAAUUGGCGGGGGAGCACCACAAGGGGUGAAGCCUGCGGUUCAAUUGGAGUCAACGCCGGG